rnacentral:lncRNA from 1 species
CUCCACUGUUUGACUAAUUUCCUUUCUGUGAAAAAUGUUUUGUUGUUGUUGUUGUGUUUUUUUUUUUUAAUGGCAAAUCAGAUCCUCUUUUAUUUUAACUUAUGUCUGCUGCAUUUCAUCUUGUACUUGUAUGAUGUAUUAGUAUGUGCAUGUUUAGAAUUAUUUUCUUUUGAUUUCACAGGUUAUCCUUAAAGCACUAUCAAACAUCAAGUUAUCAAACCUGAAAGGUAGUCUCUUGAUCAUGGCACAAAACAUGACUACUGUUCCUGGAGGAAGUCUAGCAUGAAGAAUCACGUGGAUUUUUCCUCCACAGAUUUUGCUGUUCCCUCUGAGUAAUGAAAAUCUUUCAAAGCACCCUCAUAAUGGGAAAACUUCGAGAGUUGGAGGCUGACCUAGCAAACUGGGUGCACUUGAACAACAUCCUGAACAAGAAGAAAAUAUCAGCUGAGGUUUGGAAAAUGCUCAGUUUCAAGUAGUUAAGGAAGUUUCAGGUCUGAGUACAACCCUGAAAGGACCCUGAAGGAAAAAAACAAAACAAAACAGAACAAAACAGAACAAAACCAAACCAAACAAAACAAAACUUUACUACAUGUUAUAGAAUCUGUGAAAGCAAAUGCUAGUUUCUCUGUUUU